CUGACUCAUGUGUUGAUGUGAAGUAGUGGCUGAACCAGCAACUUCUCUACCUUCCCUGGAUCCUCCUUCAGCUUUUCCAAUUCCUAUAUGUGUGUUUACCUCCAUGAUGAAGCAGAACACUCACACCAUUAAGGUCAGAACUGACAUGGAUUUCAGUCUCUCCUUAUGAGAUCCCAGACUGCAUUUUCCCUUCCCCACUUUACAGUUAUCUUUUCUCAUGACACACUGCUCUGUGGACUUAACAUUCUAACAUCAGAUACAAAGAAACACAGACAUACACACACACACACACACACACACACACACACACACACACACAUCCUUGUGGCUCUGUCUCUCUAGUUGAACCAUAAUGGAUACAAAUAUUUUAAUUAUUAACAUCCCCAGGGAGUUAAGAGAAAAUAUUGCAUCUGUGAAACAAGACUAGGGUACUACAAUGGAAAAACCACUUAGAAAAUAACAAUCAAAAAAAGUUAUUAGAAGUGAAAAACAUGAUAGCAAAAAUUUCAAAAACCAACAGAAGAUUUGGAAAACAGAGAUGAAGAAAUCUCAGAAAUAAGAGCAAAAAAAAUAUGUCUUCCACCUUAUACUCUCUCUCAGGCUCUUCUUGCUUGUUUGCUCUUAUGAAGCCAGCUGCCAUGUUAUAAGCUGUCAUAUGGAGAGGCCCAUAUGACAGGAACUGAGAAUGGCCUCCAGUCAACAGCCAGCAAGGAACUGAGGCCCUCAAUCUAACAGCUCACAAGGAACUGAGUCCUGACAGCAACCACAUGUGUGAAUUUGGAAUUGGCUCUUCCUCCAGUAGAGCCUUGAGAUGACUGUGGCCACAGCUGACACCUUGAUUGAGGCUCAUGAGAGACUCUGAGCCAGAGGCACCCAGCUGUGCUAGAUAUCUUCAUUUUGCUUCUCCGGGUGCUACUACCACACUUCUCUACUCUGUUCUGGCCCCUGAAGGCUGACCUGUGUCAACUAAGGGAAAAAAAUGAAGCUUUUAAAGAAUUACAGUUAAUUUUAUACAGAAGUCUUACUGGAGACUAUAGACCAAGGCUUAUAGCUCGGGAGCAGUUCCAUCAGACGGCUCGGGCACAGUAUUUCAGCCCAUUGCUUAUAGACAAGCGUGGGAGUUCAGUACCUGCAAAAUUGCAUCAAACCUGCUUGGAAGUUACAAUGAAGCAGAAUCACAUCUAGAUUUGGGUGUAAGAGUACAUCUGGCAACAGAUUA
rnacentral:lncRNA from 10 species